AGUGGCCGCCGCCGCUAGAAAGACGCUUUCCUUUUUAAUUUUUUUUCCAAGCGUUCACUUCCGGGUCCGGCGCCGAUCCGGAUGCCCGAGGCAGAAGGAUGUUUGACCUCCGGAUAAGCGAGGCGCCGCUGUGCAUUCAUUCCCAGCUGCAUUGGUGGCGACAGCCGCGGCCCGGACGGCGACUCUCCGGCCAGAGGCGGCGGUAGGACGCACCGGCAGUAGUGCGGCGACCGAGUCCGAGCUGCGUUAUCUCCCUCGCUUGUUCCUUCCCCCCUACCUCGCUCGCUCCCUCCCUCCCUGCGUGCCUCGCUUUCCUCCUCUGGCCGCCGGCGGGUGCGAUGUGCCGCCGCCGCUGCCCCAGCCGCCGCUGACUGACGGACCGGGGGGCGCCGCCCGCGCCCGGGACCGACCCGCCACUUGCGGCCGCGCCUUUGAGGUCACUAUCAAUAUCAGCUCACAUCAUUGAAAAGAUAAUUUUGAAGACAUGUUUUGCUGAAAAGAAAACUGAGAAACAUUUUACGAAUGGGAUGAACACGCAUCAGUUAAUUGACUACCUACUGCAAUUUGAAUGUUAACAUUACCCACCUGGUACAGUUACCUAGUGAUGUACCUGUUCUCACGAUACCCUAUUUCAGUGUGGUCAUCUUGAUUAAAGAAUUCAAAGUGGAGUACCGCAAACUUGAUAUGGAUAAUAAAAAGAAAGACAAGGACAAAUCAGAUGAUAGAAUGGCACGACCUAGUGGUCGGUCAGGACACAACACUCGAGGAACUGGUUCUUCAUCCUCUGGAGUUUUAAUGGUUGGACCUAACUUUAGAGUCGGAAAAAAAAUUGGAUGUGGGAAUUUUGGAGAAUUACGAUUAGGGAAAAAUUUAUACACAAAUGAAUAUGUGGCAAUUAAACUGGAGCCCAUGAAAUCCAGAGCACCACAACUACAUUUGGAAUACAGAUUCUACAAGCAGUUAGGAUCUGGAGAUGGUAUACCUCAAGUUUACUAUUUUGGCCCUUGUGGGAAAUACAACGCUAUGGUGCUGGAACUGCUGGGACCUAGUUUGGAAGAUUUGUUUGAUUUGUGUGACAGAACAUUUUCUCUUAAAACGGUUCUCAUGAUAGCUAUCCAACUGAUUUCUCGCAUGGAGUAUGUCCAUUCAAAGAACUUGAUAUACAGAGAUGUGAAGCCUGAGAACUUCUUAAUAGGACGACCAGGAAACAAAACCCAGCAAGUUAUUCAUAUUAUAGAUUUUGGUUUGGCAAAGGAAUAUAUUGAUCCAGAGACAAAGAAACACAUACCAUACAGAGAACAUAAGAGCCUUACAGGAACAGCUAGAUAUAUGAGCAUAAACACACAUUUAGGAAAAGAACAAAGUAGAAGAGAUGACUUAGAAGCUUUAGGUCAUAUGUUCAUGUAUUUUCUGAGAGGCAGUCUUCCUUGGCAAGGUUUAAAGGCUGACACAUUAAAAGAGAGGUAUCAGAAAAUUGGAGAUACAAAACGAGCCACACCAAUAGAAGUGUUAUGUGAAAAUUUUCCAGAAGAAAUGGCAACAUAUCUUCGUUAUGUAAGAAGGCUAGAUUUUUUUGAAAAACCAGACUAUGACUACCUAAGAAAACUUUUUACUGACUUGUUUGAUCGAAAAGGGUAUAUGUUUGAUUAUGAAUAUGACUGGAUUGGUAAGCAGUUGCCUACUCCAGUGGGUGCAGUUCAGCAAGAUCCUGCUCUGUCAUCAAACAGAGAAGCACAUCAACACAGAGAUAAGAUACAACAAUCCAAAAAUCAGUCGGCAGACCACAGGGCAGCUUGGGACUCCCAGCAGGCAAAUCCCCAUCAUUUGAGAGCUCACCUUGCAGCAGACAGACAUGGUGGCUCGGUACAGGUUGUAAGUUCUACAAAUGGAGAAUUAAACACAGAUGAUCCUACUGCAGGACGUUCAAAUGCACCUAUCACAGCCCCUACGGAAGUAGAAGUGAUGGAUGAAACCAACUGCCAGAAAGUGUUGAACAUGUGGUGCUGCUGCUUUUUCAAACGAAGGAAAAGGAAAACCAUACAGCGCCACAAAUGACUCUGGACACAGACAGAUCAUGGGGAGUUACUUACAUGUUCAUCUGCUGUCUUGUGAUUAAAAUCAUCUCUGUAGUGACCACAUAUAUUUUCAAGAACUCACUGUUAGAAACAAAAAUGUCAUACUUUCAUACUUCAUUUUGUGGUUGUCUUACAUUCGUAUUUUUUUCUAAUUUAACUUUUAUGGAAGCUUUAAAGUUUUGUCAAAACAUGAGUGCUUUGCCCAUCAUUGAAUGGAAUGGACCAAUGAGGUGGUAUUGAUGAAUUACAGUUCUGUAGAACAUUUUUCAGAAGCUCUCCUCCUGUUGUAGAAAGCAGUACAGUAUCUUAAAUGUCAACCAAUUAUAUACCUAAUCUGAUUUUUGUAACUUCUGUGAGAGAAUAAUCACAGGGGAAUUUUCUCCCCAGUGGAUAAUGCAACAGAGAAAACAGAGUUGCCCAAAUAUUUAAAAGAAGUUAUCCCUUGAGAAGAUCAUUAUCUGUGUGACAUCUGCAUUGAUUUCACUGUUACUGUCGGUACUGCUAUUCAUGAGUCAUAUUAACAUUCUCUCUGUGAAAUCAUGGUACAGUUACUGCCCAGAGGUACUGAGGAAAAAGCUCUAUGGGUUUGGCAGAUGGUGGUGGUAAAAUGAAUCACAAGUAGUGUGGUAAAUAUGAGCUCUGCUUUUGUUGCACCACUAAGUGAAGUACAGUGUUGUCGAAGUGGCAAAAGCGCUUAUUUUUUAAAAAUGCAAAAUAUUUGUAUAAUGUAACUUUAUGCUUCCAGAUAAUAAUGUAUGUUAGACAGCAAGAAAUGAAUACUUUGAGAAAUGAGAUAUGUUGGAGUUUUUUGAAAAAUACACUAAGGAGAAGGAAUAAAUGUGAAUCUCACCGCAUCAUAUGAGGCUGAAAUCUAAGGAGAUCCCACUGAAACCUGCUGCUGAACGAUUACAUUCACCUUAAGCAGAAAACUUUGGAUGUGCCACACAAUGGUGUCUGUUUAUUAAUUAUUUGCCCUUUGAUUUUAAAAAAAGACCCUCAGCAAUAGAAACGGGGUCACUCUAUUGCCGUCUGCGCACAUUAGUCUCUUGUAUUCAACUUUGCUGGUUCUCUGGAAUUUUCCUACUUUUUAGCGUAAUUGUGAUGAUUGAAAACUAUUUUGGAGAGGAUGGGUCAGGUGCUUUGUCCCCAUAGUCUUUUGAAGUGCCUGCAUAUGAACAAAGUAAUGGUUCUGUAAAAAAAGGAAACCCAUUCCACUUUUCAAGUAUGCUUUGUUUUAAGCCAUGAAGACACAGGUAUACUUUUGUCACAUUCUACUAGCCAGAAUUUGCAAGGAGAGUUAAGACAAAAAGACUGGCUAGAAAGAUAAUUAUGUUGUUCAAAUCUCACAUUCACCUUUCAUUCAUGAACUUGUUGCUUACUCCUUCCACUCAGCCCCUUCUUUUUGUCUUUAAGUGUGUGCCUCCGGGCAUGCUUAUUUAUUUUUAUUGUCUCAAGGUAACAUUUAAAAUAUGUAAUUAAAGUAAAUAAAUCUACAUUUUUGACAUUAUUGCAUUUACAGGAAUUUAACUGUACUUUCUAAUUUAUUUUUCUUAUUAGCCAAAAGUUCAGUGCAUUGUUUUUGAAGAAUUAGGCACCCAUAUGAAUACCGCAAAUCAGGACAUUAUCAUUGUUGCUCUGAAUCUAUGAAUGAUCUUUAUAAGUUCUUGAUUUUAAAGAUCUACACUCAGCCUAGAAAACACUUGUUGUAUAAUUUGGUCAACAGUUUCCAUUUUAUCUAUUUGUAUACUGUCAUGAUGUCUUAAACUACAGGAGUUACAUACUGAGUUUUUAUUUUUGUUUGCUUUGAGCAAGGUAGAUGGAUGUUUUGGCCAUUAUAAUGUGAAACCACUUCUUUCUUUACAGUAUUUGACCAAAUUUGUGUGUCUAUGAUAUUUGUAAAUACAUGCGAUAUCUGUAUUUCUUAUCAUAAGCCUGUUUAGUUUUAUUCUCAGUAGGGUUUUUGGACUGUACAGUGUUUAUAUGAUCUGAACUCCUUAUACAUAAGAAGGUGUGUAUAUUAAUCCAAUUAUGGACUUAAAAUAUUUUAAAACUAUAAAUACCCUUAUUUGCUGCAAAGACCAGUGUGUAGACAUUUGCUUUUUAGCAAUAUUUUUAAGUGCUCCAUUUUAAUGCCAAGGAAUAAGUCUUUUGGCAACACAAACUGGUCAAUAAUAAGUAAUGCAGGUAUGUUCAGGUUAAGCCAACAAUGUUUUGCAUUUUUAUGCUUCUUUUCUGUCAACACUAAUGAAGUCAACAUUGCCUGAAUGUCUGAAUAAUGAAACACAUCCCUGUUUAAAAGUAUGUAACUGAAAAAGAAAUAAAAAAUAAAGGUAGUUUUUUUAAACUUGCUCUUUCCCCUUUCCUCUAAUAUGGGUAAAAUAAUGCCACUUACUAAUUGAAGACAGGAAUUUUAAAAAUUCAGUUUAUUUAAUUUACUAAAUGUGAAAAGCAGAGCUAAAGGAACAUUCGUUUGUGUUUUUUGAUUUUGUUUUGCUUUGUUGGAACCCUAUUGUAAAGAGUACAUACCUGGAAGUAUCUAAGCUUUCUUUAAUGAAAGUUAAAAAAAAUUUUUUUAUACUUCUCUGAACUCCUUAAUAGAGCAAUUAAUUAGAACUAAUGCCACUAAUAAACCGAGGGAAACAAACUGAAUCAUUUCAUUCCUUUUCAAAAAUGAAGUCAUAUUAUGAUGUUCACAGAAAUGAAAUAUUAUUAAAUCCAAUUUUAAGUGAAUGACUUUAAUAUCAUUCCAGAUAAAGAGCAUAUAUCUGUGACAGUAUCUCACAGUUCAUCAUUGUGCUAGGUGCUUUAAGGUGCUCUGCUUACUGAAAGAUGCCAAAGGUAAGAUAAGUCAAAGCAGCACACACUAAGCCCAUGUGUGUCCAUUAAGCACCACCAUUCAGAAAGAAUAAGAUAUGGAGAUGAAACAUGACAGGUUAAGCAUGGGUUAAAAGGCCCUGUCUAGAAAUAUCUGACCUAAGAUUAGGUUUCAAUCUGAAUGACUGUAUAGUUGCAUUAGCACCCUUUUCUUUUGCAAGUGACAGAAACUUAACAUGGCUUCAGCAAUAGGCAUGCACAUUGUUACAUUUAACUGAAAAGUCCAGUGAUAGGAGUAGCUUCAGGCAUGCUUGAUCCUGGUGCAAAGUUCAGGAGUCUGUUUUUCUCUGUAUCUCUCAGUUUUGCUUCCUACUCUGCUGUUUUCAUUGUCAGGGAGAUUCUUCAUGUGUGAUGGUAAAGUGACCACCCAGCAGCUUCAGACUUCUGCCAUAAUCUCAGCCAAAACAAAGGACAGUUUCUCUCAACAGUUCCAACAAAAUCCUAAGACUGACAUUUAUUCCUUCAUUGGUUCACAUGCCCACCCUCGAGCCAACUACUGUGACCCAGGGAAUGUUGUUCUCCCAUCUUCAGAGGACACACUGAACUGAGAAAUAAGGUAGAAGGGGGUGUUCCCCAAAAGGAAAUGAGGAUAUUGUUACCAGAAGGAGAGUGAAUGGAUUCUGCGCAGGCAAUCUAGAUAUCUUCAGUCAUGGAAAUUUACUUCAUAAGAAUACAUGGAUCGUAACCAAAGAAAGAACUACAUAUAGAAGUAUUAUCAGGUAAUACUGCUGGGAUAUGAAAAUGGUUUUAGAAAGAACACUUGUUCACAGCAAUGUUUACCAUACUGUGAUUUUACUCAAAUUGAAGAACACUCCUGCACUGCUCUAGACUAGGGGUUGGCAAACUUUUUUGUAAAGUUUAGGAUUUAUGGGCCAAAAGGCAAAAUUAAGCCUUUUAUAUACUUGUGUAAUGAGAAAGAAAACAAAUUUCCACUACUUUUUUAUUGAUGAAAUUAAAAAUAUAUAUGAACACUUGAGUACAAAUUUUUUGUAAUACAGGUCUAAUGGUAAAAAUUAAGUUAUUUUGAGAGGAUAAUAUUUCACUUAAUUGGGGUUUGAAAUCGAUUGCAAAUGUUCAUCUGUUAUGCUGAUCUGUAAUGUGAUUUUACGUAUUUCAUCUCUGAAAAUGUCCUCAUACAGAUAGAUACUACCAAAUACUGUUAUCAGUCCACAAGUGUGUGGAUGUUAAUUGAGCAUAUUCACCAUUUGGAAGGUGUUCAUAGAAUUCCAUUAGAUUCUGCUCUUGAUAUUUGCCUUUGACAUAUCAUUACAUCGCAGAUUAAUUACUUUUAAAGUUUAGAUGGAUGCUCCUUAUUUAUACAGUUAAGUGGAUUUUGUAAUAUGGAAAUUUCCUGUGCACUUGGAUUGAGAUCCAAAGAUGUAGCUGGAACUGCAGUUGAGUUUGGAAAACACAUCCACUGCAAAUUUGUGUGGGAAUGGAUAUCUUGCUGCUCGUGUUAACUAGACAGCAUGGGAAGUGUCUAAAGCAGCUUGACAUAACUUGUGAUUUAAACAGCAUUAGUUGUCAUCAAAAUGACUUUGUUGCAGUAUAAAUUUCACAUAUAAGUGCUGUUUUGCCUUGUAAUUUUUAAGUUGAAGUUAUUAAGAAACAUUAUCAAAUCUGCAGCAAAAGCUAAUUUUCAAAUCCAUUCAGUGUUCGUUAAUAAUAGGUGAGGGUGAUACUCAUUCAGAAAAAAUUCACUUUUGGUCCUGAGCUCAAAAAAUUGCAAUAAAACUUUAUUACUUCUUUCAAACUGCUGUGUAGUUGGGCAAGUCAGGAUAUUCAGUUUCUGUUUCUAAUGAAAAUGGAAGUAAUGAUAGUUAAGACUGCCAAGAGUGAAUGAAAUUCACCAUUGACUUUACAAGUUCAUUAACAUGAUAUUCAAAUAGUUCCCACAAAAUACCUGCUGAUGAAUAAUAUAAAGCAUAAACAUUGACUUUAAACAUUUUACAUUUUUACAAGCUUUGUAAAUUUGCCCAGUAAACCUUUUUCUGCUCCACAUGUCUUUACCACCAUUAAGUUACUUCACAUCUUAGCAGAUUCUACUUUAAUUAGCACUGAUGUUUUCUCAAGUUCUUUAAAAAUAUUCUUUCUUAUAGUUGUUCCAUGGAGACUAUUCACAGAGGGUACUUCUUGGGGCACUUCAAACUCAGUAUUGACUUCCCUAGUAAUCAGUAGCUGGCAGUAUUGGUAACAUCUGUUGACUCAUCAAAAGCCAAAUCAUUUUGCCUUAUCUUUUAGUUGGCAAUUGAUGUCUUCAAGCAACUGUCCUUGCUAAAAAGCUAGUGGUCUUCAACAUGUUUUUCUCCUCUGGACACACUUUUUAGCUGCUGCAGUCAAACACAAUUAGCUUUAAGUCACCAUCAAUAAAGAGCAUUCUUUGCUUGGCUAACAAAUGAGCCACUUGGAAAGUAAGUGGCUUGCACCCUCAUUCUCAUUUUUUUUGUGUGUUUGAAUAAAUUCUAUUGUGAUGAGAUAUUCUGUUUUAAAGUUUUCUAAUUGUUCUUACUGUUGCUUUUCUGUGAGUUGGGGAUAUUGUGAUGAGUGCUUAGUCUGGUAAUGUGAAAAUAAAUUGUAUUCUUUUAACACAGCUGAAGUGUCAUUGCAUAAUAAACAUGAUGCUUUGCCAUAUAAUUGUAUAACAAAAUAAUCCACAUUCAACUGUGCCUUAGAAGCGCAACACUCAAAGUUCACCUUACUUUUUUUUUACAUGAUUAAUAUUCAUUAGUAAAAAAAAAUAAUAAAAUGUCUGUAUGACAGUAUGUGUGGCACUUGAAAUGCUGUCAGAUUAUAACUGCAUCACUGAGAUUUGUAGUGUGUUGAACAGCAGUGUAAAGCAGUGAGAGCACCACAUAUGGUCUCUGUCACAACUAUUCAACUCUGCCUUUGUAGCAUGAAAGCAGCCAUAGACAAUAUG